rnacentral:rRNA from 1 species
GUGGGGAAUUUUGGACAAUGGGCGCAAGCCUGAUCCAGCCAUUCCGCGUGAGUGAAGAAGGCCUUCGGGUUGUAAACUGCUUUUGUACGGAACGAAAAGGCUCUGGUUAAUACCUGGGGUUGAUGACGGUACCGUAAGAAUAAGCACCGGCUAACUACGUGCCAGCAGCCGCGGUAAUACGUAGGGUGCGAGCGUUAAUCGGAAUUACUGGGCGUAAAGCGUGCGCAGGCGGUUUUGUAAGACAGGCGUGAAAUCCCCGGGCUCAACCUGGGAAUGGCGCUUGUGACUGCAAAGCUGGAGUGCGGCAGAGGGGGAUGGAAUUCCGCGUGUAGCAGUGAAAUGCGUAGAUAUGCGGAGGAACACCGAUGGCGAAGGCAAUCCCCUGGGCCUGCACUGACGCUCAUGCACGAAAGCGUGGGGAGCAAACAGGAUUAGAUACCCCUGUAGUCC